rnacentral:rRNA from 1 species
CCCUUAGAUGUUCUGGGCUGCACGCGCGCUACACUGAUGCAUUCAGCAAGUCUACAACCUUCUUCGAGAGAAGUGGGUAAUCUUCUGAAAGUGCAUCGUGAUGGGGAUAGAUUAUUGCAAUUAUUAAUCUUCAACGAGGAAUACCUAGUAAACGCAAGUCAUCAGCUUGCAUUGAUUACGUCCCUGCCCUUUGUACACACCGCCCGUCGCUCCUACCGAUUGAAUGGUCCGGUGAAUCUCAUGGACUGAAGUUUUGGCUAGCUUGCUAGAUUAAAACAUUGGGAAGUGAGGUAAACCUUAUCAUUUAGAGGAAGGAGAAGUCGUAACA